GAUUAACGCUGGCGGCGUGCCUAACACAUGCAAGUCGAGCGGCAGCGGGUUUUACACUGAAUUCUGGAAGCUUCUAGUUGAAAGAGAAGAUUUAUUCAAGAAUUUGGUGUAAAAUGUCGGCGAGCGGCGGACGGCUGAGUAACGCGUGGGAACGUACCCCAAAGUGAGGGAUAACGCAUCGAAAGGUGUGCUAAUACCGCAUAUGGUCUUCGGAUUAAAGCCUUCGGGCGCUUUGGGAACGGCCUGCGUAAGAUUAGAUAGUUGGUGGGGUAAUGGCCUACCAAGUCGACGAUCGUUAACUGGUUUGAGAGGAUGAGCAGUCAGACUGGAACUGAGACACGGUCCAGACUCCUACGGGAGGCAGCAGUGAGGAAUCUUCCACAAUGGGCGAAAGCCUGAUGGAGCAACGCCGCGUGCAGGAUGAAGGCCUUCGGGUUGUAAACUGCUUUUAUAAGUGAGGAUUAUGACAGUAACUUAUGAAUAAGGAUCGGCUAACUACGUG
rnacentral:rRNA from 1 species